rnacentral:rRNA from 1 species
AUUGAACGCUGGCGGCAGGCUUAACACAUGCAAGUCGAGCGGGGGAAGGUAGCUUGCUACUGGACCUAGCGGCGGACGGGUGAGUAAUGCUUAGGAAUCUGCCUAUUAGUGGGGGACAACAUCUCGAAAGGGAUGCUAAUACCGCACACGUCCUACGGGAGAAAGCAGGGGAUCUUCGGACCUUGCGCUAAUAGAUGAGCCCAAGUCGGAUUAGCUAGUUGGUGGGGUAAAGGCCUACCAAGGCGACGAUCUGUAGCGGGUCUGAGAGGAUGAUCCGCCACACUGGGACUAAGACACGGCCCAGACUCCUACGGGAGGCAGCAGUGGGGAAUAUUGGACAAUGGGGGGAACCCUGAUCCAGCCAUGCCGCGUGUGUGAAGAAGGCCUUAUGGUUGUAAAGCACUUUAAGCGAGGAGGAGGCUACUCUAGUUAAUACCUAGGGAUAGUGGACGUUACUCGCAGAAUAAGCACCGGCUAACUCUGUGCCAGCAGCCGCCGUAA